rnacentral:rRNA from 1 species
AGAAUCAACGCUGGCGGCGUGCCUAACACAUGCAAGUCGAACGAGAAAGUGGAGCAAUUCACAAGUAAAGUGGCGCACGGGUGAGUAACACGUGACUAACCUACCCUUGAGUGGGGGGAUAACCUAGGGAAAACCUGGGCUAAUACCGCAUAAUACCUACGGGUCAAAGGAGCAAUUCGCUUAAGGAGGGGGUCGCGGCCGAUUAGUUAGUUGGCGGGGUAAUGGCCCACCAAGACGAUGAUCGGUAUCCGGCCUGAGAGGGCGCACGGACACACUGGAACUGAAACACGGUCCAGACUCCUACGGGAGGCAGCAGUGGGGAAUUUUGCGCAAUGGGGGAAACCCUGACGCAGCAACGCCGCGUGGAGGAUGAAGUCCCUUGGGACGUAAACUCCUUUCGAUCGGGACGAUAAUGACGGUACCGGAAGAAGAAGCCCCGGCUAACUUCGCGCCAGCAGCCGC